rnacentral:rRNA from 1 species
AUGUCGUCUCGAUCCGUUGCCCGCCGCCGCCGUCGCAAACGAUCUCCUCUGUCGUCACGAUCCCUUGCCCGCCGCCGUCGCCGCCGGCGCAGCAGCAGAUCGCUGGUGGCGCGUGCCCCCCUGCCGGACAACGACGAUCUCCUCGAGGAGAUCCUUCUCCGUCUCCGGCCGUCCUCCCUGCCACGCGCCUCCGCAGUCUGCAAGAGAUGGCGGCGCCUCGUCGCCGACCCCAGGUUCCUCGACCGUUUUUGUGCGCACCACCGGAAGCCGCCGCUCCUUGGAUUCUUCGAAGAGAUCGUCGUAUGGACCCCCAUGACCGGCGAGCAGCGCUGCGUGGCCGUUCCUCCAUUGUUCAAGAAGAGCUUCCUCAACGGGGCGGUGCUCUGCACGACUGCAAACAAGGGCCACGUCCACGGUGCCUGCCAGUUCAGCCACUUCAAGGUGGUCUUGGUGUGCAAGGACAGAAAGGAAAAGAAGCUCCUUGCCUUUGUUUACUCCUCGGACACUGGUGUAUGGGGCAAUCUUAUCUCAAUAGAGGUUCCGUCUCAUAUCCGUGACACAUGCACUCAUGGGUCACUUGUUGGUAAUGCGUUUUAUUGGUUGUUGUCUACAAAGGAUGGCAUACUUAAGUUCGACUUGGAUAUGCAAAGUCUAGCUUUGAUUAAGGGGCCUCCGGUUGCAAAUAAUUUUUGCCGUGACAGACGCCGGAUCAUUCAAACAGAGAAUGGUGUUGUUGGCCUUGCCAUAUUGUAUUACCCUCACCUCGAAAUAUGGCAGAUGAAGACCGUUAAAAUGUGUACCGUUCUUGGGCUGCCUCCUCAGAUUGAGGAAGGAGACGCAAAAUAUAUGGCAUACUCUGAAGACAUUGAUGCAAUUUUUAUAUACGUGAACACCAAUGUAUAUAUGGUUGAACUUAAGUUGAUGCAAUCCAAAAGACUUCAUGAAGGCCAUCAUAUCAAUAACUACCAUCCUUUCACGAGUCUCUAUACACCAGGUGAUUACUCAUACUUAGUCUUUAUCUUGCAGGAGUAA